rnacentral:rRNA from 1 species
CCUGAUCCAGCCAUGCCGCGUGAGUGAUGAAGGCCUUAGGGUCGUAAAGCUCUUUCGCCUGUGAAGAUAAUGACGGUAGCAGGUAAAGAAACCCCGGCUAACUCCGUGCCAGCAGCCGCGGUAAUACGGAGGGGGUUAGCGUUGUUCGGAAUUACUGGGCGUAAAGCGCACGUAGGCGGACCAGAAAGUUGGGGGUGAAAUCCCGGGGCUCAACCCCGGAACUGCCUCCAAAACUAUUGGUCUAGAGUUCGAGAGAGGUGAGUGGAAUUCCAAGUGUAGAGGUGAAAUUCGUAGAUAUUUGGAGGAACACCAGUGGCGAAGGCGGCUCACUGGCUCGAUACUGACGCUGAGGUGCGAAAGUGUGGGGAGCAAACAGGAUUAGAUACCCUGGUAGUCCACACCGUAAACGAUGAAUGCCAGUCGUCGGGUAGCAUGCUAUUCGGUGACACACCUAACGGAU